GUUAGCUCCGAAAGCCACGGCUCAAGGCCACAACCUCCAAGUAGACAUCGUUUACGGCGUGGACUACCAGGGUAUCUAAUCCUGUUUGCUCCCCACGCUUUCGCAUCUGAGUGUCAGUAUCUGUCCAGGGGGCCGCCUUCGCCACCGGUAUUCCUUCAGAUCUCUACGCAUUUCACCGCUACACCUGAAAUUCUACCCCCCUCUACAGUACUCUAGUCUGCCAGUUUCAAAUGCUAUUCCGAGGUUGAGCCCCGGGCUUUCACAUCUGACUUAACAAACCACCUGCAUGCGCUUUACGCCCAGUAAUUCCGAUUAACGCUCGCACCCUCCGUAUUACCGCGGCUGCUGGCACGGAGUUAGCCGGUGCUUCUUCUGUCGCUAACGUCAAAUAAUGCAGCUAUUAACUACACUACCUUCCUCACGACUGAAAGUGCUUUACAACCCGAAA
rnacentral:rRNA from 1 species